GUAGGUGAACCUGCGGAAGGAUCAUUAACACGAUUAUUAUCCAAUAUCAAAACCAAACGUGAGCUUUUCCCCUCCCUAUUAAAAAUAAUCUAAUUUUGAUUGUUUUUCUUAGGCUAACCUUUUAUCAUUUUUUCAACCCCUUUAAACUUAACUAGUUUGUAUACUGUUUCACUAUAGUAUCAAACUGCUAACACUAAAAAAGGCUUGUUAUUAUUCCUUAAUUGGGAUUAAAGCCCUUUUUUCGAUUUUACGAAAAAUAAAACUAGAAAGAACAACUCUUAACAAUGGAUAUCUAGGUUCUC
rnacentral:misc_RNA from 1 species